rnacentral:rRNA from 1 species
UUUACGGAGAGUUUGAUCCUGGCUCAGGACGAACGCUGGCGGCGUGCUUAACACAUGCAAGUCGAACGAUGAUGGAGAGCUUGCUCUUCGGAUUAGUGGCGAACGGGUGAGUAACACGUGAGCAAUCUGCCCUUGACUCUGGGAUAAGCGUUGGAAACGACGUCUAAUACCGGAUACGACCUUGGAAGGCAUCUUCUUUGGUGGAAAGAAUUUUGGUCAGGGAUGAGCUCGCGGCCUAUCAGCUAGUUGGUGAGGUAAUGGCUCACCAAGGCGACGACGGGUAGCCGGCCUGAGAGGGUGACCGGCCA